rnacentral:lncRNA from 1 species
CAAAGUAAUUUAUUAAUAUUUUCCUGAGAGACUAAAUUCAGUACAGUAUUUGUUUUCAUAACAUCCAACAUGUCUUAUGUCAAACUUAACCACUUUCCAUGCAGUGACUGUGGUGGGGUGAUCUAUUUUAUUUGACUACCCUCAAUGUAAUUCAUUUGGGUAGUUCUAAAGCAUAUCAGUGAUCAAAAUGUUUCUCCCUACAGUUACUCCUGCAUUCUCAAUCAGUUUCUUCUGCACAUCAUCUAAAGAAAAUUUAUGUGGUGUGAUUACACUCUUUAAUACCAGGAUUUCUAAAACUAGGAAAAACACCAUUUAAAACAUCAGUGUUUCCAGUCAAGGAUAGUUCAAUUAAAUUUCAUCAGUACAUUAUAUUAUAGUUUAACUCAUGCUAGAAAUGUUAAAACCCAAGAUCUUCUGAGUCACAUAAUACCAACAUUUCAUAUUAAUGAAUAAAUUACUUGGGUUUCAUACAAAGAUAUUAAGUGAUGAGAAACAGAAAAAGCCAAGCUUUCAAGAGCUCUUUUAAAAAAAUACAGAAGCUAACUAAUGAACACAACUACACAAAAUAUACACUAACCAAUUGCAAACUAAACUAAAGAUUAACCUUAAAAAAGUAUAUUUUAGAACUUCGUGAUACCCUCAUAAAAUGCUCAUAAGGGUAUUAUUACCUCAUAGGGGUAUUAAAACAAUAGUCAUUAUUUUAGUUACUGUGCAUCAAGUCUAAAAGAUCCAGAUAAAGGAAAUGUUUUGUUUUUGAUUGAAUUUAAAUACUUUAAAACUGGAAAUAUUUAAUAAUUGAUAGUAUAAUUAAAUUUUAAAGAAUAUACGCAAAUGAUUUGAACAGGUUUUAUAUUCAGUAACUUGCAUGGUUUUUACACUGGCACUUUUAUCACUAAUUUAGGAGAAUCAGAUGCAUUUCCCUCCAUAUACGCAGGCACUAAGAUUUCAAAUUUAUAAAUAUGGUAGUAUUUUUAAAUAUUAAAUUUUUACAUGAAUAUUGGGUUCAUCCUUGUUUUCCUUGGUUUCCUAGGUAUUAUCCAGUUUUGUAAGGAAAACACAGUUAUAUCACAAUCAAAACUUGUCUUGGUUACUAGACUGUAGCCAUAACUGGGUUACAGUCACUUAGAUUCAUUAUUUGGAAUUAUACUUACUAAGGCAGAGCUAAAUGAAACUUAUCUUCUAGAACAAUUUCACAUUUGCAUUUACCUGCACUGCAAAUGGGCUUAAGCAAUAGUUUAGCUGUUAGGAAAUAUUUAAUUAACUUAAACUUGUUAUCUGUGACUACUCAGAACUCCCUAGAGUAGUCAACUUUCUCUCUGAGUUCACCUUAAACUAUUGUAUCUGAUCCAUUCCAAAUAGAAGAUUUUUGAAUAGAAGUUAAACUUCAUUAAGGUACUAACUUUAAAUCUGGAAGAAAAUUAAUGUACUGAAGUUUUCAAGUUUGACAAGUUCAUUAAAAUUUUUUAGCAUGUCUUGAUACAUUUACUUAUCAGCUUUUUACUCUUCUGCUGGCAUUUCCUUAAUGUUUGUUUGCUUCACCUCUCUGGUUCAUUGGAUUGCUAUUAUUUAUGUUUUCAUGGACUUUAUCUUCACAGUUUACUGUAUCUUGUAAAGCCUUUUCCACAUCUGUUUGGCCAGCUGUACUGGCUGUUUUUGGCAAGGUCAUCUGAAGUGCACACCACAGGGUAGUGCGUGCUUUCCGAGUAGCCACACACAUCUCUUUAAUUGCUGAAGCAAGGGCAAAAACAUCUGUAAAGAAAACACUCAGUGUCAGUUCAUAUUAGAUACCUUUUAUGUAUCCUUUAACUCUUAAAAAGCCCAAUGCUGUGCUAUUAAAUGAUCAAACAUUAUUAUUUUCAUAAGAGAUAGAUGGCUAUUGACUGAGUUAACUAUUUGACUUAGUAUCAAAAAGUGUUGAUACUGUUUCUGACUUGUGUGACAAUGACUAUGCUUUGGGGAGAACACAGACUUUGACAGAGUUGUAAUUAAAUGGGUAAAAUUAACCAAACUGACCAAAGUACUUAUGGAGUAA